CGCCUUGCCGCCCCGGUCACCUGCCCCUGGGCUGGGUGCCCACGGUCACAGCCCACGUUCUACAGGAUGCGGCAACAGCUAAGGCCAGGUGGCCACAGCACCUUUGUGGUGACAACCACACUAAUCAGCAGGUGUCAGGUGUCGCCCUACGUGCUCCAGGCCUGCGGUCCCGCCCACGGAGAGCGGACAUUCCACUGGUUUCGGAAUCGGAAAGCAAACUUCCCGUCAAGCUCAGAGGGUGCAGUCUGAGCCUUAGGCUGCGCUUCGAACAGAACUGAAGCAAGUGAUUCCGGGCCGGAAAGCUCUUUGGGGCGCCACCUUCUUAAGAACCCUGGGCCCCCGAAGCAAACGUGACACCCCCACGAGCCACUCGCUAAACAGAGGCAGCACCUGUACCGCGGCAGACAAAUCCGUGCUGUACGAACACCCCCACCCGGCUCCUGAGCCCCCCUGCGCCCUCUGAAACCUCCGCCGGAAUUAAGUCACGGAGCCCUCCCGUCUCCCCUCCACCGUUCGCAGGAGCACCAGCCACAUCAGCUACAAGGGUGACCAAGCAAGGAUCCAUUUAAGUGAAGAUGGUCCGUGCCACCCGUGAGCUCCCUCGAGAAGCACAAAUGGCUUGCAAAGGCCUUGGUCCUGGGGAGGUUAUCACAGACCAGCGCGUUCCAGAAACUUCAAGGAAGGCUGUGGUCCAGGUGUCAUGAUGCCUGGAGGGGCCGUGUUCUCUGUGAGUCCCUCUUUUCCCCCUCUUACAAGGACACCAGUCGGAUUGGGCCAGGGCCCACCUGCUGCGGCGUGACCUCAUCAUCACUAAUUAUAUUUGCCACCACCCUCUUUCCAACUAACGGCACAUGCGGAGGUCCUGGGGGUUCGGACGUGAACAAGGCUCUAUUCGGAGAAGGGACACUAUUGGACCCCUAACCUACGCCCGAGGCAACCGCCAUCCCUCCUCUAAUUCUGCUUCUCGUGACCACGGACUGUCCUCGCCAGGACAAGGGCACCGGGGAAUGCAAGAAGAGCUGCCUCCCCAGGGUUUUGGCUUCGUCUCUCUUUUCAGGCCCAAAGUGGGAGUUGGCAACCGUAGGACCAGGAACUGGGUGCGGUGGUUUCUUCUAGAAGAAUUGGCGGUAUUUUCUAGGAACAGAUCUAGCCUCUGGCCCCGCUGAGCUGGGAGAUGAUCUGGGAGAGCUCCUUCCCGCCCGGGAGGCGCCUCCAGGCCGCCCGCUGCGCUAGUGAUGACGGGGGAUCUCGCUCGGCCGGCCGCUCGGAAAGGUAGUGACAGUAUUGGUGCCAUCAGAUGGCAGCACGGGCUGCCACGUCACCUUGAGUCGGGCUCCGUUCUCUUUUACCUUUUCCUUGUCUCCACUGCUGGUCUGGCGGUUAUCACUGCUUGUGAAUCAGUCUCUCUCCUGUCGCCCCUACGUUUCCGUUCUCCCAUCUGCCUCGGCACGGACAGGGGCCGGGGGGGGGGGGUGUGCGAAUCAGUGAGCUCACUGUGUGCAAACGGCCCAGAUGCUCUCAGGUAAGUACAAUGGAUCACCGAGAUCGUCUUGGUCCAUCUCUUAAUUCUGGGCCGUGAUUGGACGGCUGCGUUUAUCAGUGACUUUGCGGCAGAACAGAAAUCGUUAUACUUCGCAGAACAGGAGGCGCCAACGGAAGAGAGGACAGAAUGAUCUGUAGGAGGAUUUCGAGCACCUCCCACUCACGUGCCACGUCAGACUGGGGAUUCGUGACCCCAAUCACAUUAUCUCCCGAGCGCCCACUGUUUGCUCCCUGUGGCCCAGCAAAAGGGGCACACACGCCCCGAGCCCAGAGCGCAUACCCUCACGGGGAGAGUCGGCAGGAAAUAAACUGCCACGUGCACUUUGGGUUCUGCCGGUGCGAGACAAACUGCAGACUCCCAGACGGAAGGGAACCGGGGGAACAUACUUGGGUUUGCUGUGGAAAGUGGAAUUUUCCCUCGGACUGUAAACGAAUUCACCGCCUUAGUUAAUGCACGUGAAUCCCGCAGGCUGUUCUGUUAGAGGACCUGGAACCCCGCCGGCCCUGACCCGCCCGCAUCCGCCCCAGGAAAGGCGGGCUCACUGCCCCUGGUGCCGCAGUGCCAGGGCAAAGGGGAGGAACGGAGGCCACCGGGGCUGCGGGGACAGCUGGGGGCAGACGGGUGCGGGCGGAGCUCGGGGCCAACUUCAGGAUGCAUUAUUGUGAAGAUACUCGUGACGCCUCCCAGAACUCAGUUAGAGGCAGCUCACGAGGCUGGAGAUCCCGGACCUCACUGAGGACACCGAUCGCACGACCUGUGCGAAGCUGCACUGUCUCACUCACUGUUAAGUGUGUGUGCUCAGUACUGAACUAGCACAGUGUUCCCAAUCAAAUUAGUGCCACGGCAAACGGAAACACGAAGUCAAAAUCAUCUCCGCAACCCCACGUUCACUGCAGCAUCAUUGACGAUAACCGAGGUGUGGGAACAGCCUCGGUGUCCACUGAUGGGUGAGUGGAUAAAGAAGUGGGGUGUGUGUGCGUGUGUGCGUGUGUGCAUGUGCGUACAAUGGGAUGUCACUCAGCCAUAAAAAAAAAAUCUUGCCAUCUGCAACAACAUGGACGGACCCCGAGGGCGUUACGCUGUAAGUCAGACAGGAGAAGAGACCACGUGAUCUCACUUACAUGUGGAGUCUGAAAGAGACAAACCAAAACAAAACCAAGAGACACAGACACGGGGAGCAGGUCGGUGAUUGCCAGGUGGGGGUGAGGGGUGGGACAGACGGGUGACGGGGCGAAGGAGGGCGAGAGGUACAGACUUCCAGCUAUAGAAUAAAUAAGUCAGGAGGAUAGGAUGUACAGUCGUGACGACUCCAGUUAGGAACGCCGGGCGGAUAGAAGUUGCUAGGGGCCGAAGUCUUGAAAGUCCUCCUCAGGAGACAAAAACGAACAGUGUGGAGACGGACGGUGACUAGCCUUUGUGGUCCUCAGUGCACAGAUAUCGAUUCCUCACGUUAUACAUCAAUUCUACCGCGAUAACAGCAAUAAAAUUAAUGUCAUCGAGAAAUUAUGCAGAAACCAGAUUUUGCUGCACACGGUGCCCUGAAAAGUCACCGAGGGAGUAGGAAAUGAUUUUAC